UAAAAACAUUAAUAAUGAAGAUCAUUUUUCUUUUUUUUUUAUUAUUAUGGUGUCUUGCAUUGGAGAUGAAGAUUAUCCCUCUCUCCUUUCGGCCCUCUUUUCCUAUGCCCCCAUUUCUGUCUUGGUGAUAAUGCAAAUUGAUUUUCAUUUCUUUUUCUCGCUCCUGUCCUUAUUGUCAGGAGAGGCUCGUCAAAGCUGUUUCCCCUGAAUGCCUGUUAUUUCCAUUGCCUUCCCACGAGUCAGUCACAUGCUUUAAGCCUGUGAAGUUGUUGGAAAGCUGGACAGCCUUUGUCUUCUGACCCACAGAGACUGAUGUGAAUUUAAAGGUUAAUGAUUAAGAACACAUGCGACAGAGACCCACAGCUGCCUGUUCGAGUCCACACUAGUCCCCUCGGCGAGGCACGUGACCUCCUCAUGCCUCAGGUGCUUGCAGAGUGGAAAUGCCCACUUCUUGGAAUGGCUGUGGGUGUGGACAAGACGAUGCGGUGGAUUCUCCUGCCCAGCACCCGUGGGUGCUCAUGAGGGUUGUGUUUACUGUUGGCUGCAAUAUGUCAUGACUUAUCAUGUGUGAUCCUUGAAAGAAAAUGCAGCUGUGAGCCUGAACUGACUCCUAUGAAUGGUCUUCUCCAGCAAUAGACCCUCCUUCAACUCAUGGUAGCCUGUUAGGCCGAGUGACGGACUGGAAAGCAGGAUCCACUGGAUCAUCUAUGGGAAAAGGAGGGGGAAUGAGGUCAAGGAUUGAGGACGCUAAUGGGUCUUUGACAACGCAGGGAGUUAAAUGGACAUGUUCAUGCCACGCACUUCAAAGACAGCUGGUUAUGUCAAGUUUCAUUAUAAUGAAGAUGAAAACGAAAGGUGACUGUCUAAACUUUGCCCUGUCUUGGUAUUCAAAUGCCACGUGAAUGUUGAAUUUCUGGUUUACUGAAUGCAAAACCAGAAAAAUACAGUGACUGCACAUUGUCUUGGGUACAAAGGAGGUACAAUGAGGACCUUGUCAGCAUGACAAAGUUACCGUCAUGCCAUUGAGUGCAUUUUCUGUUGUUAGUCCUGUUUUUGGUCUGUAUUGGCUUGUAUUGGACUGUACUAUUCAUUUAAUAUAAAAGCAAAGUACGCUUUGGAUACUAAGUCCUAAACCAAAUAUAUAAAAUACGGGGAUAGGCU
rnacentral:lncRNA from 13 species